rnacentral:rRNA from 1 species
CACGUAGGGGACGAGCGUUGUCCGGAUUCAUUGGGCGUAAAGCGCGCGUAGGCGGCUCGGAAAGUCGGUCGUGAAAUGCCGGGGCUCAACCCCGGGACUGCGUCCGAUACUUCCGGGCUGGAGGUAGGUAGGGGAGAUCGGAAUUCCUGGUGUAGCGGUGAAAUGCGCAGAUAUCAGGAGGAACACCAGUGGCGAAGGCGGUGCUCUGGGCCGGAACUGACGCUGAGGAGCGAAAGCGUGGGGAGCAAACAGG